GUGCCACUUUUUGCUUCAGAGCUGAGCUAAACUGCCUUGCAAGCUUCAAUCUCAGCGCAGAGCUAUUCGGAGCCUUCCAGAAAACCCUGAAAUUUUGACUAAGGCCUUGUCUAUACUAGUAAGUUUGCACCGUUUUUCCUCACUGUUGCCAGUGCACUGCUAUAAUUGCACUUCGGUGAGCCUGUACGUAGACACCAGCGCUGAACUGGCAGUCAGGGUUGUGCAGCAUCACACGCUCGGGGGGUGCUGGGCACAGGAGGAAAGGGGCAUGCCUCAGCACAGCGUGCCCGCAUUUGAGCUGGGGGUUUCCAGCCCACCUCUUCCGCAGUUUCCUGCUCGUCGUACUUCUCUGCGGGAGAGCUGCGCUGCUUGGUCGAGCCGCGUGGCCUGGACACGGCAGGAAGGAAGGAAAGACAACAUGGAGCUGUAGGCUGGCCACAGAAGACUUGGAUGAGUGAACACGAAGCCAAACCGUGAGGAUGUUUCUGCAACUGGCCGCAGCGAUGGACUUCACACUUCUGCUGCCCAGAAGAAGGCCCGUUACAGUCGCAGCCCCUCGUACCGGUGGGCAUAGGGGCUGUCUUUCCUGGCGCUCCCUGCAUUGCCAGCUGUCCAAAGGGAGAGCAGAGCAGAGGGAGAGCCAGUAAAUGGCUCUGAAAUGGCCCCCAAGAAAGGGGAACACACUGUAUGGCUUUGUUUUAUUCACCAUGGAUAUCCUCCCUCUGGCUGACGAGCUCUGCCUCUUUUCAGACAGAUUUGAAGCAAAUAACUCCAUGCGACUUAGGUUAAACUAACAGGAAACACUGCUUAGAAGGAGAAGACGGUGUUCUUUGGGGGCAAACUAAGGCUCCAGCAAGGCACUUAAGCACAUGUGAACCAAAGCAUACCAUUGAAUUUGCCUCCAGCAGGGGAACAAAGUCCACUGACAGUGUAAUGGAAGAUAUUUGAAGCGCAGAAUAAGAAGACACUAGGGCUGCCGGUUGCCGUAUUGAAGAUUCCCGUAAUUUCAGCGGUAAGCCACAGCAGGCUGCUCUCAAUCAACAGCAGCAGCGUCACAGCAAGCAACAAAAGUAACAAAUUUCCCUCCAAGCAAGCACACUCUGGCUUCAUUCAGGCACACAAAUGUGCUCCAAAUCCCAAAUCACAGUCUCCCAGCCCAGCAAGACAGAGGCUGCAAACUGAGUUGAAACAAAACAGAUAAGCAAGUGGAAACAUUUUCUUCCAGCAGAAAAAUAACCCACAUAUUUGCACUUUGCCUACCUGCUGGAACCGUUGUUCCUUCCCGUGAUCCCGCUGCGGCGUUUCUCUUCUCCAGGCUGAGGGCCCAGGCCCGUUGGGUGCGAAGCACCUUCUCCCUUUGACCGGCAAUGGAGAUUCUUCAUUUCUCAGGAGAGGUGAAGAGCCUCUGACUUUGGGGAACCUCAGCUGCCGAUGAAAGAGUCUGGAAAAGCUGCCGUCAGUACUCUUAAUCUGAACCUGCUUUCAGAGCAAUGGAAGCAGGAGCAGGAACCAUGCUUUCUUCAGCCUUGUUUCUUUAAUUUCCAGCUCGCCAUUUGCAUAACUAACUAAUUUAGCCUCAUCUUCCAGCUGAAGGUACAAUGAGGCUUUCACUAUAGCAAAUACACACAUACGGAAACAGAUGAAUGGAAGCCGCAGGUGGUGGUCAGCACCGAACACUGGCUUUUGCGAAGCACUGACAUUACUUAGACGCCGGAGAUUUCUCCUGGCUUUUUGUGGAGACAGAUAUGAGAAGCACUGAUCUGCUUGUCUAAUCAUAAAUGCUUGCUGAAAAGUGGAAAAAAACAACUAUUUUUAUGUGCAUCCAGAAGAAGAUACUAUUAGAAGUUACUGUCAUUUGCAAGUUUUCAGUAUGGCUUACAAUUAUCUAUAAAUAUCACUAUAUUUACAAAUGCUGUCUAAUGCUGUAUUAAAACACCAUGAUUAAAAGGAGGAAAUAUUUAAAAAAAUCAUAUUAGAAUAAAUUACACUGUGUCAUCCAAUUUCAGAAAAUACUUUAGCAUGUAGGACUGGACUCCUUUUCUCCUCCACUAACAUUAAUGGAAGAAUAUAGAAAGAUAAGAAAGUCAGGAAAGAAAUCAGAUGGAAAAUAAGUGGUGGUAGGGAAAACUCUCAAGGUUACAGGAGAUCCGAAAAAUGUUAAAAUCCAGACCAGACAACAUCAGUUUCAUUUUUGUAUCAGAACAAGAGAGCAGCGUGUGGGCCCAUUUCAUGUUGAUAUUGAUUCUUUUUUCUCACCUGUCCUGACUAUCUCCUGAAGAAUCAGAAGGAUAUAAGAUAUAUAAAAUCAGUAUUUAAUACAUUUAUAUUUAAAAUUUUAAAUGAAUUUUAAAUGCAUUUUAAAACUUUUUAAAAGAUUUUUUAAAUGAAUCAUCAUUUAAAUGAUAAUUUAAAAUUUGACAGUAGUUUGCUUCUUGAACUAAAAUAUGCCAGCACACAGUUUCCUCACAGAAAAACAAUGUCAUAACAGCUGAAUAAAGGAGACAUGACAGAAUGAUGAAGCAUUUCUUCACAUAAUAAGGCCCUACGAUGGCAUCAAAUCAAUGGAGUCUACAGGGCUGCAAAAACUAGGAAUCCUAGAAAACUGCAGAUGUGAUGAGCAUAACUGAAUUUCCACUUCUGCGCUGACUAGUAUAUGUGGAAAAAAUUUCUUCCUUGUAUUAACCAAGCAUGACUAUUCCAAACUGUGUGUACAAUUGUACUCUAAUACGAAAAAAAAUGCUGUUGUGAAUGUAUAUUAUUCUGCAGGUCUACCUUCAGGAGUCGGGCUCAUUUCUCACAGCUGCCUGGUUGCUAAGGAUAGCUGAUGUAUAUAGAUGUAGACUGCUCAUUGCAUGCAUAUAUGCACUGUAUUGAGUGAGGAUUUGAAAAGAAUGCCUCUGCUGGUACUUCUACACAUUUUUCUGUUUGAAUCAUUUCUUGAAUGUAAAUUGAGAUAAGCCUGGAGUAUAGUACAGAACCAAAUGCUGAGGUGUCUGUAUGUACUAGAGAUUUUUCUUGUCCUACUCGUACAAACAAGUUAAUUCCACAGUCAACCUAAUUUUGUGCUGCUUCGGGUCCAUGGUUUAAUGGCAGAAGUUCCAGCUGGGGACAAAAAACAUUGAAUAAGGGCUAUAGCCUCAUUAGAAGCCAGAACCCAUCCAAAAGGAGACAUUUGCUGUAUCAUUAGCAAAUAGUGCAGUGCUGUGGGAGCAGAUCUGGAAUGGGGAACAUCUGGUGCUGAGGAUGUCAUGUCCACACUGCAUGUGUUUUGGAGGUUGCAUACCAGACUGAUGCUCAUCUGACCCCAUGGACUGACUGCCGAGUACCACUUGCGGUGCGUCCUUGGGCUAAAAUCUUUAUUCUUGAAGCUUUUUAUAAAAAUUAUCACAAAGUUUUUAUUUUCUACCCUAUAAGCAACUAGGGUGGUGGAGAAAAUGAUGAAAUUAUUUGUUUUGAGAGCACUUACAAAAGUGUGGAUUCUCAUCCAAAUUGCACAGCAGACACAUGGCGACCUCCAGACUAAAUCUGUUGGUUCUGCAAAUCUGAAUGCAAAUUUUGUGCCUUUUUCUGCAAACCCGAACGCUUCAUGAACACCUCUAUCAAGCUUUGUUCUGACAGAUUUUAGCAAACUGCUUGAAUGGAGACUCAGCAAAUAAAGUUUUAUACUAUUUUCCAGAUCUAAUUAAUUUAAUAAUUGUUUCUUCAGGUGCCACUUUUUUGAACAAUUUCUUUUCCAUUCUGUCAUUGCUCAGCUACCUGUAUACAAAAUCGUCAGGGUCCAGAAGUGAGCUCUUUGCACAGAUUUCUACUCACAUGGGUUUAUUGUGUCACUCUCAG